AGGGCAUGCUGCGUGCCAUGG
rnacentral:miRNA from 1 species